GCGCUUAUAGCUUAAUGGAAAAGUUCCGAACUUCGGAUUCGUGGUAUGAAAGUUCAAAUCUUUCUAAGCGUA
rnacentral:tRNA from 1 species